GAGGGUAAAACUCAGUGGUAGAGUGUGUGCUUAGCAUGCGUGAGGUUCUGGGUUCAAUCCUCAAUACCUCUG
rnacentral:tRNA from 1 species